rnacentral:lncRNA from 1 species
AAAGGCAAGGUUGAGAAGAUUAUUGCAUUGCAAGUUGCAGCUCUAGUUUCAAUUGAUGGUGAAACUACCAUGAAUGACCUAUAGUAGCAAUUGGCACUACUCGCUUAAAAUAUUAGUAGGGUGCUUAAAAAGUUUACCAGAAAGAACAAAGAUUUGAUGCAAAUAAAAAUUUUAGCAAGAUAAAGUGGAAACGAGUUGUGAUCAAUUACGGUACACCCAAGGUGAAAAAGAAGAGGAUAAAGUGUCAUAACUGCCAAGGCUUUGGUGAUAUUCAAGAUGGAUGCCUCAAUACAUCGAAGAAAAAAAGAAGUCAUUGUGUGUUACCUGGAGUGAUGAAAACUCUUCAAGUGAUUUAGAAGAGGAUGACGAGCAUAUUAGCAACUAUGUUGCCUUUACCUCCCAAGUUGUUCUUGUGUUGUAACUGACUCAGAUAACUCAAAAAUGAUAUUGAUACCAAGUCUACUGGCAUCAAAGACUUACAAUAUUAUGAUAGAUAAAUAAGAUUGGGUGUGCAAGGUAAAUUGAAUUCUUGAUGAUGAAAGCUCAUUACUAAAAGUGAAGCAGAUCAAGGAAAAAGAAUAUCUAUUGAAUGACAAGUCAACUAAAUUGGAAACAACAUUGAAGGAAUUAUCUACUGCCCAAUUCGUGUUGAAAAAGCUAUAAUCUAGUAGUGAUUAGCUAGAUGAGAUACUUGCAGUUGGUAAAAGAAACCCUAGUAAAGGUGAACUUGAUUAUGAGGAUAAAGAAGACAGAACAACAAAUUGCAUUUGUCAAAGUUUAAAGAACAAUUGAUCUACCUAAGUGUUUCUAGAAGGUUGAUAUUAUUAGUAUAAAUGAUCAUAGCAAGCACAUUCAAAUAAUUGCAUGUCAUUAUUGUGGUUUCCUAUGUUAUAUUAAAGCAAGGUAAUUCAAAAUUUUAAAGGAUCUGAUAAGAAACCAUCCAAUUAUUGUUAUGAGCUAAUGAGCUCAGGUUUAGUUAAAUAAAAACAUUUUUGUACCAUAAUCUUGAUACAUGUACAUUCAUGUUCUUUGGUUCUUCUUUAAUUUUAAAACAGAAAUGUUAGGGUAUUUUAAUAAAAAAAACAUUUUUUUAGAUAUUAAAAAAUUAUUUUUGUCAUUUAUUGUUGUAAGUUAACAAAGUAUAAAAAGAAAUAUUUUUUUGAUUGGAAGCUCAUAGGUUUUUUGGCGAAAUUUAGAUUUUGUGGAAUUCUUUUACCACAAUUGAGGUUUUAGAAGUAGAUUCAGAGUUUAUUCAUCUACAAUGCUUUUCUCAUGAUUUUAAUAGAAUUUUUCUAUGCACAAUUAUUUAUGCUUACCUUCACAUUAUGAUGAGGAAAAUGGUCUUUAUGUAGUCUUUCAAACCAAUACAGGCUCUCUUGGUUUCUUAGAGGGGACUUUAAUUGCAUUAAAUAGAGGAGAGAAAAGGAGAACCCUUGGGUAAAAGUGGGUUUAGUAAAGUUUUCUCGAACUUUAUGUUUGAUGGUGGAUUAAUUUAUUUGUGUUUUCAAGAACCUAAGUUUACUUGGUCUUAGGGAACACUCUUUUAAUGGCUUGAUCAAUUUUUUUUUUUGUAAUUUAGAAUGGAUGGUGUAGUUUUCGUCUUCAACGGUUCUCCAUCUACAAAAAAAAAAGGUUUGGAUCAUUAACUUAUUAUUUUGAACACUAUGGUAAAUUCGAAGAAAAAAAAAGACAAAUUAUUUUCACUUUUUCGCUACUUGGCAGGAUCAUCCCCAAUUCCUAGAUUUUUUAAAAGAAACUUGGAAGCUAAAUGCAAAUAUUCAAGAAAAUAUUGGUUCGUUUGUGAAUGUUAAAGAAUGGAAUAAGCAGGUAUUUGGGAAUAUUAGGAGACAAUCAAACAUUUCAGACCGAUAAAUCUUUGUAUGGUUUUGUACAAAAUACUUACAAAGACUAUUGUUAAUAAACUUAAGCCUUUUUUACCUGGAUGGAUCCACCCUAACCAAGUAAGUUUCGUGCUUAGAAGUUGCAUAAGAAAUAACAUUUUUAUUGCUCAGGAAAUUAUACAUUCGAUGAAAAAGAAAUCCAGAAAAAGAGGUUGGAUGGCUAUCACAAUAGAUCUAGAAAAAGCUUACGAUAGAUUAGACUGAGCAUUUGUCAAGGACUCUCUUUCUGACACAAGUACACUAUUAUUGAUAAGGGAUUUUAUUAUGCAAUAUAUCUAUAUAGUGAAUAUGCAGGUAAACUGGAAUGAGAGCCUUUCUGAUGAUUUUAAGCCUACAAGAAGGAUACACUAGGGGGAUCCUUUAUCCUCAUAUAUAUUUGUUGUAUGUAUGGAAUGAUUAGUACAUGCAAUUAAUAAAGAAGUUAGCAAUGAAAGAUGAUGUUCGAUUCAAUUUAGCAGAGGGCCCAUUUAUCUCACAUUUAUUUUUUGCUUACGACUUAAUUUUAUUUGUAGAAGCAUCGAUUGAAAAAAUGCAUACUUCUUGACAUAAAAUGAAUAAGAAAAAAAAAUAAAAAUCUAUUUUUCUAAUAAUGUUCCCGAUGUGCUUAAAGUUGACAUUAGUUGCGAUUUUGGGUAUGCUCAGGUUGAUGAUUUGGGUAGAUAUCUCGAGGUGCCUUUGUUACAUCAUAGGGCCACUAAAUAGACUUAUGGAUAUUUAGUCUCUCAGAUUAAAAGGGAACUAGUUAGAUAGAAGGCUUGCUAUUUAUUAAUGAUUGGAAGGGUCACACUCACUAAGUUAGUUAGCUAUACCUAUUUAUGUUAUGCAAACCCAAGUUAUUCUUAAAAGCAUCUACUUAGAGAUCUACAGUAUUAUUUGAAACUUUUUUAGGGUAGAUCAGAGGUGGCUCGAGGUGUUAAUUUAGUCAAAUUGAGUGAAGUGUGUAAACCAUUGCCGGAGGGUGGACUUGACUUUCGAACGAUGGAUAACAAUAAUAAAUUAUUUCUCAUGAAGGUUGGCUUUCACUUAACUCAAAAGAACGUUCAAUUAUGGUUUAGAGUACUAAAGUCGAAGUAUAGAUAGGAGGGUGAGAUAUUGAGUUGUCUGAGGUCAAAUGCAGCUUCUAGACUGUGGCGAGGAGUGUAUAGUAUUUGGGAUCUUAUUAGAGAUUGGAUUGUGUGGGAUUCGGGAAAUGAAAAUAAUGUUAAAUUUUGGAGAGAUAAAUAGGCUCCUAGAGAGUUUCUGUUACGAGGUAAAAAGCUAAGUAGGAAAAUAGAGACUAAAAAGGUCUUAAAACAAUGAGUUUCACUUAAGUAAAAUGGUGCAUUUAAUACUAAGAAUAAUUUUACAAAAUGGUGCGUAAGGACUUUAAUUAAACGGUGAUUAUUGUUACAAUUGAAUUUGCCACGUUUAUCAUUUCUUUAUUUUCCUUUUUAAGCAUUAGUUGUAAGGGAAAUAUUGUUAUGAAAUCACACAAGGAAAUUGCAGAAAUCUCUCUUUUCUCUUUUUUCUUUUUCUUUUCUCUACUUUCUUCUUAUCUCAGAUUUGAGGUUGCAUCAAAGGUAUCAGAGCUAUUACGAUCUCUGUGAUGGUUGGUGAUGGUGUCUCAACGCGAUUGUAGAAGGAGGUUGGGGGCAUGCAGUAGGAAAUCUCUAAAAUACAAUAGGAGGUGGUUCAAUUAGAGGCUUGGAUGGAUACCAAGUUUCAGGUGUUCAAAGAUGAGUUUCUUGGGGACUUACAAGCUUUGUUAGGGCAGUAUUUUGGACCUCCAGCAAAUGGGACCACGGAAAAAAGAAGAGGGUCUUAAGGGCUCUACAUUGAUUCCCUCCAAAAUAUUUAGGGGCACCCAAUGUCCUAAUUGGACUAAGCAUGAUACCUUCAGUUGAUGUGAGCAGUGUACAUCUGCGGAAUCACUCAUUUGUGGUAGAAGCAUCUAAGAAGCCAAGUAAGCUUGAGUGUCCCAAGUUUGAUGAUAGUAAUUUUUGGGGAUGGUGGACCAAGCUUGAACAAUACUUUGAGGCUAAGGGAACUCUAGAAUCAAGUAAAAUUCGUAUAGUAAUGUUGAAUCUGAAGGGUUGAGCUUUGGAAUGGCACCAUUUCUACUUUCAACGAAAUGAUGGUUUUCAGAUGUUAUCCUAGCUAGCUUACAUGAAGAGUUUAAAGAUCGUUUUGAAUUUGGACAGUUUGGAAAUCCUAUGAAAGAGUUGGUUAAUCUGAAGCAACAAGGUACAGUGGAACAAUAUCAAGAUAUGUUUGUUGGUUUAUUAAAUCAAUUUCACAUUCCUAAAACAUAUGCACUUAACAUUUUUCUUGACUUGUUUGAACCAUCUACGCCGAUGGAAGCUUUUCAGUUGGCUAGAAAGAUUGAGGUGCUGUCGUCUUGCUUAGCAAAGAACACUUUAGUUCCUUUGAAUAGUUCCCCUAGAUAACUACUCAGUCCAUCUGUGAUAUCAGAUUAUUCUUUAACUCCACGAGGCCUGUUUCUGCUUCAUAGUCUGUGAUUAGUGCUUUAGUAAGCAAAUCUACUUCUCGGUCUAUUUCACCAGCAUUAAUGGUUGAACGAGAGUAGAAGGGCCUAUGCUUCUGGUGUGAAGCCAAGUACCAUGCUGGACACAAGUGUGUCAAGUCCCAGCUAUAUCAGUUUUUGCCGGAACCUUUAUCUGACAGUGAAGCAGAGGAAUUCCAGGAAUGCUCUGAUAGGCUUGAGGAGAGUAGUCUUGAAGAGAAACCAUCCAAAUCCCCUGUGAUUUUGUUACAUGCCCUUAUUGGUUUACAGGGUCACAAUACCAUAUGAGUGGCUGCUCGAUUGAGGUCUAUUUGGGAAAUGAUUUUGGUCGACUCAGGUAGCACACAUAACUUCAUCGAUGCUAGGCUAGUGGGUAGGUUAUUGCUGACAAUAGUGCACCAAGAGCAGUUGAAGGUCAAUGUCGCAAAUGAGAGCUAUUUUUUUACCAGGGGAAUGUGCAAAGGAGUUCGAUGAGAAGUUCAAAAAUGCCAGUUUGAAACAGAUUUCAUGGUACUACCACUGAAGGGUUGUGUUCAGUGGUUAUUGACCUUGGAGGAUAUUAUUUGGAACUUUGGUUCCUUAACCAUGCAAUUUAUGGUUAAGGGUGAACCAUGUAUUAUUCAUGGUAUUGUUCCAAGCUCAUUAGCUGUAGAAACCAGUAGCUCAAAGUAACGGCCCGGUUUAGACCCUAGUCGGAACAGUAGUUUCGGGACCACAAAUUCGAGUCAAAAAAAUAAUUUAAUAUUAUUUUCGGUGUUUAAAGUAUGUGAAUUAAGAUGUGUGAAAGUUUCGUGUGAAAAUUUUAUCCGUUUGUGUGUUUAAUUUGAUAAAAAGGACUAAAUUGCAUGAAGCGUAAAAGUUGAGUUCUAAUAGCUAAAUGUAUUAAAUAGCUAUAGGGCUUGAAAGUGGAAGUUCUUAUAUGGUAAUUAGCCCAUUAGAUUUGAUUGUGGAUUUUAAUGGCUUGGCAUUUCAGUAAUUUUUUAAAGUUUUUAAAGGUUAAUUAAGUAAAUUGGUAAUUAAUGAUUGUUAUAAUAAAAUAAAGAAAAAGAAGGCUAGCGGGGGAGAGGGGUGUUUUUCUUCUUUCUUGUUGCUGCCGAAAACCGUGGAAAGCUUUGGAGAAUGCUUUGCUGUCUGUUACUAACUUUGAAUGCAUGUAACUGUUUUUAGCUUUCAUUUUUGGUAAAUUUUGUAUUUUUGGAACCAUUGAUGUUAGGCCCAACUAAUAAAGGGAUUAUAUUGCUAAAUUUAUAAUAAAUUUUGGGACUGGUUUUCUUUUGAAGUAUUACGUUGUGUUGGAAAAAUGUAGAUGAAUGGCUAAAUAUUUUUUUGAGCAAUUUAGCUACUUUAGGUAGUAAUUAUUGUUUGUAUUAAUCCCUAGUGACUUAGAUAUUUUAAAUCUAUAAUAACAUGGUGUUAAUCAAUAAAUUGACAAGGUUUGGGGGGACUAAUUGAGAGUUGUAUAUGUACGAUUAGCUGGGAAUUUGGUUAAGGAGGUGGAUAAAAAUAGUUUUUGUGUAAUGAUUUUUGCUAGCAUUUAUCUUUAAGGAGUUGGGUGUUACAAAAAUUAAAAUAGCAUGAUAAAAACUGUAAAUUCGGCUAGCUGAUAUUUAAUUCAAAAAAAUAAAAUAAAAUACCAAGAAGGGUUAGUUGCUGGUGUUUAAAUAUUUUCGGUGGUUGGAUUAAUUAAUUAAACUAAAUUAUUACUAAAUUAGCAUUGAUGUUUCGGUUUCGAUUUAAUGGUUGAAAAUGUUUACUGUCUAGCAUUAGUUAGAUUCUUUUAUUGUAAGUUUAAAUACUGCUCGGAAAUAGUGCAAAAAUUAAUGCUGCCCAAUUUUGUGCCCUUUUUAUGCUGUCUAAAAUUUGAACAAAUUAAUGGUUCUAUUUUCAUGCCGAUUGGGGGCUGUAAAAACAGUCCCAUUUGUUGCAUUAUGCUGUCCAGUUUUAGGAUGAAUUAAUUGAGUUAUUACAGGAUUAAAAAGCAUGGAUUUUUGCUGUGAUAAGCUAGUAAAUUUUAAUACUAUUAAGUGUGUUCUUGCGGAUACAAAUGCCCUACAUGUUUGCUAUCUUGUUCUGUCCAAAAUAGGACAAAUUGAAUAUGUUUGUGAAUGAGUUUUUCAAAGUAAACUUUGUAAAUUCUCAUGUUUAAAUUCUGAUGUUUGCAUGCAGGUAAGUUAUGGUUAUAGGGAUAGAUAAAUCGAGUUUAGUUACUAAGUCUCGGUUGUUAGUAGUGAAGAAAAAAUAAAUAAUUAAAUAAAUAAAUUUACAAUUAAAUGUCAAAUAGGUGAUUAAAUGAGUUAAAUUUGAAUUCAUAUAGAUUAAGAAAGAAAGAAAUCGGAUUUAGAUCGGGGGAAAUCGAAAGUUGAUGAGUAGUUGAUUCGAUCCGUUCGUUUCCGUAUGAGGUAAGUUUAUAAGCAAAUAGAUGUUAUAAUCUUUAAAUAAAUAUUAAAUAUAUAUAUGCUGAAAUGAAAAUAUGCAAAUAUAUAUUUAUAUGUGUGUAGCCGAAUGUGUUUAAGCUCGGGAAGUGGAAAUAGACGUGGAUGUGAUUUAUCAAUAUUUAGCACUGAGUGUGCGAGUAUAGAAUAGUUAUGGCUAUAUGAUUGGCACUAAGUGUUGUGCGAGUAUAGAAUAGUUACGGCUAUAUGAUUGGCACUAAGUGUGCGAAAUUAAAUAAUGAUGUUGAAUAAUGAGCACUAAGUGUGCGAAACUAAGUAAUGAUGUUGAAUAACGAGCACUAAGUGUGCGAAACCAAAUAAUUAUGUUAAUAACGGGCACUAAGUGUAACAGCCCAAUUUUCAGUAGUGUCAGAAUAGUGAUUUGAGAUCACUAAAUCCGAUGAAAACGUUAGAAAAAUUUAUUAAUUAAUAAUUAUAAGUUCAGCUUGAUUUUAGAAAUAUUUUUAAAUGAGUGAAUUUUGUGAUUUAAAAGAAAUUAUUAGGUAAAUUGGGUAAAAAACGAGGUAUCGAGACCUCGAUAUCAUAAACUGAGCCGUAAAUAUUUUUAUAAAUAUUUACAGAGUGUCAACAGGAUAAUAUUAAAGUUUCGUUAAGAAAUUUUAACGUUUCGAUAGUUAAUUAUGAAAAAGGAUUAAAUUGCAAUAGGGAUAAAAGUUUAAUUAUAGAUUAAAGAAAAGUUAAAAGGACCAAAUAGGCAAUUAUGCCUUUUUCCAAAGUUGAGGCGGCAUAAGUAUAAAAAUCUGAGAUUUUUAUGUGUUAAAAAAAUAUUAUUAUAUUAUAGUAAUGAUUAUGUUUUUAUAUUAUGUUAUUAUUAAUAUAUUAUAUUAUAUUAUUAUAUUAUUAUAUAUAUAUGACAAAGAAAGAAAGAAAAGAAACAGAGAGCAAAACAAAACAGAGAAGGGAGAAAGAAAGAAACAGAGAGCAAAACGAAACAGAGAAGGAAGGAAGGAAAGAAAGAAAGAAAAAGAAAAAGAGAAAUUUGGGGUUUUAAGGUUCAGAGUUAAUUUGGUAAGUCAAUUUAAUCCCUUUUCUCUUAGUUUUGAAGUUUUUGGAAUCCUAGAGAUAAAUACUACUUGAUUUAUGUUGAUAUUUUGAAAGUUAGUAGAUUAUUAGAUGAUGUUCAUGUUGAAUAAAUUGAAGUGUUAGGGGGUUAAAUUGAUUGAAUUUCAAGUUAGAAGUUAGUAAAGGAUUUAAUUGUAAAAUAAAGUGUAAGUUUUGAAUAGUAGGGACUAAAUUGAGAGAAUUUCGAAAUUAGGGAUUUAUGGUGAAAUUGAAGAGUUAAAAUGAGUUUAUAGUAAGAAUUAAGAGAGAAUAUAGAGUUAGAUUGGGAAAAAUAAAAUUAGUAUUGAUAAGGGAUUAAAUUAGAAUUUGGGUAAAGUUUAGGUAUAAAAGAAAAUAUUUUGAUGAAACUGAGUAUUAAUGAUUUUUAAUUGUUUAAUUACGUAGCUAAUGUCGUGUACGAGUCAUUGUCCGAGAAAGGAAAGGAGAAGGUGGACAAGGAUUGACUCAGGAGAAAUUUCGGUUAGUAUUACUAUAAUUCGAAUUUAAUUAUUAAUUGUUAAAUUUUAAAUUAAUAUACAUGAUAAGCAAAUUGAGGUAAGCAUCACGACUGAAUUGAAUGAUAAAUACGUAUUGGUAUUGAAUUUAUUAAUAGUAAUUGUUGAAUUUUGAAUAAUAUGUUUAGUAUUAAAAAAAAUAGAUGAAUAUUGAUAUUGAAUUGUACAUGAAUUCGAUUGGAAAAUGAAUUUAAAUAUAUAUAUGAAUGGAAUAAAGUGAAUUAAUUGUGAAUAGUGUGAUAUAUGUGAAUGUGAAUAGUAGUAAUUGUAAUGACGGAGAAUGAUAAUCCUUUUUGAAAUAAUUUGUAAAGUAUUAAUAAUGAGUCAGAUUAUGCCAGUAGAUGCCCAAGUAGAUGGAAUUUAGAACUACCAGGAUAUUAGUGGCAUGCCAUUAAGGAACUUAUUAAGGAACUUUAGCGCGCUCUCUGAUAUUAGCACGUUGGUGCUCUUUGAUAUCAGCACGUUGGUACUCUCUGAUUAUUAGCACGUUGGUGCUCUCUGAUAUUUAGCACGGCAGUGCUCUCUGUUUAGCACAUUUGUGCUCUCUGUAUUUGUUCCGUAUAUCCGGGGUGUUCUGUAAAAUCUACUUUGGGCUAAGAUUAUAAGCUGUGGACAAAAGUGAAUCAUUAAUGUGUUAAGGUAAGUCUUAUAAAGUUUAUAUGUACCGUUUUAGGCAUAAUGUGCCGUAUUGGUGUGUUUUGGUUGGAUCGGUGUAUCCGCCAAGAUCUGAGUCAAGUUAAUAGGGGUAAAUGAAUAAUUUUGAUAAUAUAAAUUUUUAUUGAAUGAUCUUGAAUAUGAAUUGAAAUAGCUAUUGUUAAGAAGUGAGAAGUGAAAAUAAAAUAAUUUGAAAGAGUGAAAUAAUAUGUGAAUUUAACUGAAUACAAGUUAUUGAAAUUUAGUUAUGGAUUUAAUGAAUAAAUUGAGUGUUAAAAGAUUUACAAUACAUAUUGAUUAUAAAUAGAAAUGAUAAUGAAUGAGUUGAUAAAUUGAUUGAAUUUGUAUGAAUUGGAAUGAAUUAUUAGAAUGAGAUGUCGAAAAAUCCAAUAGAAUUGAGAUAGUGAAAUAAGGUAUGAAUACAAUUAAAUACAAGAAUUGAAAUAUUGCUUAUUGUUAUUAAUGAUCAAGUUGAGUUAAAGUAUGAGAUAAUUAAUGAAUAAUUGUAGACAUAAAUUAAAUGUAUAUAAAUUAUCAAUUAAUAUUAUUAAUUUGNNNNNNNNNNNNNNNNNNNNNNNNNNNNNNNNNNNNNNNNNNNNNNNNNNNNNNNNNNNNNNNNNNNNNNNNNNNNNNNNNNNNNNNNNNNNNNNNNNNNNNNNNNNNNNNNNNNNNNNNNNNNNNNNNNNNNNNNNNNNNNNNNNNNNNNNNNNNNNNNNNNNNNNNNNNNNNNNNNNNNNNNNNNNNNNNNNNNNNNUUUGAAUGUUGUAUCUAUGAUAUUGCUAAAGAAAAGAGGUGUGAGUAUGUGAUAAUGUUUGGCUUUAAAAAUGGUUAAGUAUGAAAAUCAAGAAAGAGUAAAUUUUGCAAAGAAACAGAAUUCAGGCAGCAACAGUGACGUAACUUUGAAAAAUCACCUAGGAUAGUAUAAAAUGAAUUAGAGGGUGAAUGAUAUAUGAAAUGAAAGAUUAUUGAGUCUAUUUUUAUAGAAAAAUAACGGUUUAGCAAAAAGAAAUUUAUAUUUUAAGAUAUGUGAAUUUUAGUGAGAAAUGGUCAGAUCUAUUUCUGGAGUCCCCUGUUCCGAGUUUAGAAAAUCACUAAAAAUGGUAUAAAAAUAUUUAUGAGUUGUAGUUUAUAUGUGUAGAAUCCUUAUUGAGUCUAUUUUCUGUAGAAAUAAGUGGUAAUAUCAUAUGAAAAUCCUAUAAUGAGAAAAUUUAUUUUUAGUACCAAGGGGUCAGGACAGUCGAGUGAAGAAACAGGGGAGAAUUUAACUAAUAAACUGUACUAAUUGGUCAAACCAAGAAUUCUGAAAAUUUUAUGGUAUAAAGAUAUAUGAGUCUAGUUUCAGGAAAAAUUUACGAAAUUAAAUUUGGAGUUCCGUAGCUCGAGUUAUAAUCAAUUUAGUAACUGCUGCGCGAUUGGACAGAUUACUGUAAUGCCUCGUACUCGAUUCCGGAAACGGUCUCGGGUAAGGGGUGUUACACUAAGUGUGCGAAACCGAGAUCAAUUUGGUUAAAUGAGAGAGAGCACUAAUUGUGCAACUUUAUUAUGGCCUCGAUAAAUUAUUUAGCACAAAUUGUACUGAUUCAAUGAAUGAUAAAUGUGACAUAUAUGUAUAUGUUAGUAUAAGUACGUAAUAGUUAAUUAAUAUAUGCUAUCAAAGUUAGUUGGUUAUGUCAAUUUUGAUACAAAUUAUUUGAUGCAAAUGGAAGUAUGUGUGUGUGAAAAGCUUAUAUUCGGCCAAAGGGGUAAGUAUAUGUGAAGUCAUAAUUAUGUUUUAUAUGCAUUUGUAUAUGAAUGAGUACAUUCGGUAAAGAGUGGGUAUAUGAUUUGAAGAUGAAAAAUAACUAUGUUAUUAUUUAAAGGUAUAUUCGGACAAGCUGAAAUUGGUUCAUAGUUACAUAUUUGAUAUUUAAGUUUUGCAAGCUCGAAUGUGUAUAUAUAUGAAUAUGAUUGCAUUAUUCGAUUUUGUUAUUGAAUUAUUAACGUCAUUGAAUUGUUUAAUUGCUUAUGACUUACUAAGCUGUGAUAGCUUAUUGUGUAUGUGUGUUUCCUUCGGUUUUAUAGAUUUUAGAAGCUAGUUACGGGCUCGGGGAUCGUCAGCGUAGUCAAUCACACUAUCGUCCGUCCAUCAGUACCUAUAAAAGUUAAAUUUAAAAUAUAUGGCAUGUAUAGGCUAUACUCCCCUUUUGAAUAUAUUUUGAAUAAAGUGUAUAUAUAUAAUAGGCCAUGCGAAAAUGGCUUGUUUAUUUUGACAUGAAUGGUUUCAUGCUUUGAUUAAAUAUUAUGGUUGAUGAUUUGGCUAUGUUUCGUAAAUGGUUGAGACUAAUAUAAGUGAUGUUAUGCUUUGGAAGAUUUUGAAUUUUGAUAAUUAUACAAAUGCUUAUAGCAUAUUCGGC